GGGAAAGGGGGGGGGGGGGGGGGCAGGGAAGGAGGGAGAGAGGGAGAGAAAUGUCACCCGUAGCCCGGGCCCGCGGGGGAGAGGUGGCGCGUUAGAGAUGUGUGUGGGAGAGCGAGAGCGAGAGAGAGAGAGAGAGAGAGAAAGAGAAAGAUAGAGAGGGGGAGCGAGACCUCCGCCGGCCCCGCGAACUUGUCAAGUAGAAAACACGAAGCCUUUGGUCUCAAGGAACUUAGACCAUCAUGGCUACGAAAACUACUGCUACUCAGAAAGUAUGUAAUUCUGGAGCUCCUUAGUGACGAAAGUAGUGCAAGGCAACAUCAGAACAGUUGCCAAGUGAUCUUCUCCACAGCAUGCAUGAACUUCAGCCUGGAACUGAAGAGGACUCAUCAAAUGCCUUAGGAAAGACAGCAUGGAGUUGGAAGAGAAGCAGGGAUCUCCACGAAGGGAGUUAUAUUCUUGGUGUGUGGAGGAACAGGUCCUGUUCUCGCUGUUGUUACUCCCACAUAGGCAGACUGUAAUUGAUUAUGUGUGGGUAGGGCCCUAUUGAAAUUCAGGAGAUUCUGCAGUAGUGCGGGGUUCUUUUUGUGAAAGUUCAGUUGCAAGAUCAGGACCCCACUGUGACUCCUAACUGUGAAUUCUGUCAGUGUAUCAUUGAUUGUGCUGGAACCUGCCUUUUGGGAUAAUUACCAAAUACUAUAUUCCUCAAAACUUCUUAAUGGCACUGAGGCUUUGUGGAUAGUUGGUCACAUGAGAAAAUUGAGCUGGAGUGGGCAUUUGCUGCACAGCUACACAUUGUGUGGACUUGAGAAUACCUCAAGAGCUGAAAUGCUGAACUACAGCAACAGAGCCCAUCAAGACUACUUCUACCUGAUACCUCUCCUUCAGUAUCAAGAGUUUCACUCUGGUUUUGAUCAACAUAGGAUGCCAACUUCCAUCAUUCAAUCAUUACAUUUUCAGACCACACUGGAUAUUUUCUUCUCGACUGCCUCUCAUGUAUUGGUUGACUUCUUCAUAAACAGAAAUGUUCACUAUCUUCCUUUAAAUUUCUUCUUAAAAGUUUUAUGUACUGUGAAGCUUAAAACAAUCUCACUAGACAACAGAUAUAUUGCAGGUAUAUUAAUGCCAACACAUAUCACAGUAGUACUGUGUCGUUGCAUUUGUACUCUGCCAUAAUUUCUCUGUUGUCUCUUUAUGUAGAAUUUAAGCACAUCUAUAUUUUGUUUUGUGUUUAUUCAUGGUCCAGCGUAAUGUGAAGUGGUCCAGGGUAAGGCCUUCCAAGAUUUAUGGUAAUACAAAUAAAUAAUAAUGAAUACCCGCUGGAUGCUGUAGUGUAGCUGUUAGAUUCUGUUGUGCCUAAUGUCACAUCAUAUUUAAUGCAGAAAGAAGGUUCUCCAACUAGAGGCCUCACAAAAGGGAAAGAAGUGAGUUGCAGCCAACAGAAAAAAUGCUAGCCUCAGAGGCCUUCUCAGCUGUCAAACUCAAGUCAGUAGCUACUGGCAUUGUAUCCUGAAAGCAUCCCUCUCUUCUCUUCUCUAUAGCUAUAAGAACAGAUUCUCCCUCCUCACAUAAGGAAGUAAAUGCAAAUAUCACAAAGUUCUGCAGUGUGUGCAGAAGGUUAAAGGACUUUUUGUGCUUCCAUAGCAUCCUUAGUUCGUUCCCUUCCUGACACAGCCUCUCUUGGUACAGAAAUCUUGAAUAACCACAACUGUGCCAUUUGUCAGUCUUUUUUUUCAAAUGCCACUUGAUUUUUGUUGAGAAGGAACUUUAGUUUUUAUUUGGUAUCUUGGCACAUUGCUAUCUCAUAGUGCUCUGUUUCCAUUGUGCCCUGAGGGUAAUGAUUCUUCAGAAGAGUGUUAAGGAUGAAUUCCAUUAGAAAUUCCCCAGGUCUGUCACCCUCUUUCUGUAAGUGAGCCUGCAUGUAACCCUUUCCUUUCUUUCAAAGGGAUGAUGAAAUAUCAGAGUAUAGGUCAUACAGAGAUGAUGGAAUGUUUAGUGCCUGGCUGAUACAGAGAUGGUAGAUUAGACUAUGCAGACAAAUGAUGCUGUAUGUACCAAAGAAAUUAUAGUCAAAUAAUUUUAUCAGAAUAAGCAAAAAAACUUAAUUACAAGUGGUUCUGUAGCUGAAUAGGAGAAGUUUAAUAAGAGCUCUGGGCUAGUUGAUGGGAUGGAGACAGUUGCUGUGAAAUACUGUGGGAGAUUGGAGCGGCUGUACACCCCAAAAGCUUGAUUGUAGCAAGAGUCCUUGGUUAUAUAUGUACAGACUGGAUAAACUUAACAUUCUGCUACAUUACACCAUCUUGCACAGGCUGUGUAUUUAAAUAUCAUCAAGAACUACUUUUUGGGCAAACAAGCUAGAGAAUCCAGAAGAGGGGGACAGCCCUUGAUUUAGUCAAGAUCAGCACACAACAAAUAGAAGAACCAUUCAGUAGUGAGAUAUCAUAUUCAAGUUUCUCAUACUUGUAGGAGAGAAAAAGAUUAAAAUAAAAUGAAAAAAAGGCCCAGUGUUGUGUAAAAAAGAAUUGCAUACUAAUGAAGAUACAGUUUAAAUAAAUAUUAAAAAAUUCACAGGGGCUUUGUUUUCUGAGCCUAACCCAGUUGAAUAAGAAUUAUCUUACACAAUUCAACAGUAAAGGAAAUUACUAGAAAUUAAUAGAGCUUUUUAAAAAAGUUAAAAUCCAAGCAAGCAAAGCAGAAAAGAGCACAAUUCUGGCAAGUUAAAUGUAGACCUGUUAUAAGGCAGAACAAAAAGAUUUUGAAAUGCAAUGGGCUAAAAUUCUAAAAACCAAACCCCAUUUUUUUCAAGUGUAAAUUUUGCUAGUAAGGAGGUAAGUUUAAGAGGUAAUUGUGGUUAAGGAGAAUAUUGAAGACAAAGCCAUCACAGAAAGAAACAAUUGAAUUCAUUGCAUUGGCAAGGUUUAUGAUAGAGAUUAGGGACAUCCCUACAUAGAAAUCAUUUUUACAGGGAAUAGUUCAGAUUUGAAAUAUCAAUAAAAGAUGUUUUAACAAAUUGAUAGAAUAAACUUUAAUAAAUUGCCAAAAAACAUGUUCAUUCAGUAGUCCUAGAAAAAGUCAGAAAUUAAAUUG